rnacentral:lncRNA from 1 species
AUUCAUAAUGCUAACUAGAUGAUGAUGAAACUUCAGUGCUGCAAUAUAAAAGAAACUUUUCAUUUUAUAUCGGGAGCCACCUGCUUAUACACUCCUAAAAGUCAGUCCUAAUAGAGUAUUCACAAGGCAUUAGGCAACAACUUCAGAAAUAUAAACAUGCUAUGAAAUGGAAUUAUACCUACCAUUGUCACCUUGAUUCUUGAUAUUGAUCAAGCUGUCCCAGAAACUCCAGCUUGCUCCAGCACUCCCACAUUGCUUACGAUCUCACUCACCGCCCUCUCCAUUUUCCUCACCCAAUCCAAAGACUCGGUCGCAUUCUUGGCCAUCUGCCAUCUCAGAAUACACACCUCUCUCUGCAGACACUGAUUCAGCCCCGACAGCCCGACAAUACACUCAUACUUCUUCUUGCUGAAUCC